rnacentral:rRNA from 1 species
CGGAACGUGCCCAGUAGCGGGGGAUAACUACGCGAAAGCGUAGCUAAUACCGCAUACGCCCUACGGGGGAAAGGGGGGGAUCGUAAGGCCUCUCACUAUUGGAGCGGCCGAUAUCGGAUUAGCUAGUUGGUGAGGUAAAGGCUCACCAAGGCGACGAUCCGUAGCUGGUUUGAGAGGACGACCAGCCACACUGGGACUGAGACACGGCCCAGACUCCUACGGGAGGCAGCAGUGGGGAAUUUUGGACGAUGGGGGAAACCCUGAUCCAGCCAUUCCGCGUGUGCGAUGAAGGCCUUCGGGUUGUAAAGCACUUUUGGCGGGAAAGAAAUCGGUCGGGCUAAUACCCUGACCGGAUGACGGUACCCGCAGAAUAAGCACCGGCUAACUACGUGCCAGCAGCCGCGGUAAUACGUAGGGUGCAAGCGUUAAUCGGAAUUACUGGGCGUAAAGCGUGCGCAGGCGGUUCGGAAAGAAAGAUGUGAAAUCCCAGGGCUCAACCUUGGAACUGCAUUUUUAACUACCGGGCUAGAGUGUGUCAGAGGGGGGUGGAAUUCCGCGU